rnacentral:lncRNA from 1 species
AUUAUCACUGUUCGUUCCUAUUCUGUCCCAGUUAGAUUGUGUUCGCAACCUUCCAAGACUUGAUGUCGAGUUUUCUCACAAACUCAAGCUCUUUAUCAUAUUUAAGAGACCUUUUCUUCAAGUUGGUAAUAAUAAUUGUUUACUCUUAAUGAGUUGUGUUUAUCCUAUUUUAUAAAAAUACAUGAAUUAAAUAAAUGUAAUAGUUAAACUUGUGCAAUUGUCCUAGAAGAUUCUGCAGUAUCCACAGAAACAAAUCCAAAUAACAUAUGUGUUUCACCAACACUGCUUGGAUAAAACGUAACAGUUACCUCCAACACAUUUAAAAGAAUUUCUCAUACUCCGGGUAUAUCCUUUUAAAACAGUGCCGGUACGUUUAAACUCCCGAAUGGCAGUAUUGUUUUAUUAGCUUUU